GACGAACGCUGGCGGCGUGCUUAACACAUGCAAGUCGAGCGAGGCCCCUCCUUCGGGGGGGUGUCCUAGCGGCGAACGGGUGAGUAACACGUGGGCAACCUGCCCUCAGCUCUGGGAUAACUCCGGGAAACCGGGGCUAAUACCGGAUACGACCUCCACGGGCAUCUGCGGAGGUGGAAAGUUUUUCGGCUGAGGAUGGGCCCGCGGCCUAUCAGCUAGUUGGUGGGGUAGUGGCCCACCAAGGCGACGACGGGUAGCCGGCCUGAGAGGGCGACCGGCCACACUGGGACUGAGACACGGCCCAGACUCCUACGGGAGGCAGCAGUGGGGAAUAUUGCGCAAUGGGCGAAAGCCUGACGCAGCGACGCCGCGUGAGGGACGAAGGCCUUCGGGUUGUAAACCUCUUUCAGCAGGGACGAAGCGAAAGUGACGGUACCUGCAGAAGAAGCACCGGCCAACUACGUG
rnacentral:rRNA from 1 species